GACGAACGCUGGCGGCGUGCUUAACACAUGCAAGUCGAACGGGCCCGCCCCUGUUUUUGGGGGUGGGUUGAGUGGCGAACGGGUGAGUAUCACGUGAGUAACCUGCCCCCUGCUCCUGGAUAACUGCUUGAAAGGGCGGCUAAUACGGGGUGUGCCGGCUGGUCCGCAUGGGCCUGGUCGGGAUAGUUUCAUCUUCGGGUGUUUCGGUGGGGGAUGGGCUCGCGGCCUAUCAGCUUGUUGGUGGAGUGAUGGCCCACCAAGGCGGUGACGGGUAGCCGGCCUGAGAGGGUGGGCGGCCACACUGGGACUGAGACACGGCCCAGACUCCUGCGGGAGGCAGCAGUGGGGGGUAUUGCACAAUGGGCGGAAGCCUGAUGCAGCGACGUCGCGUGAGGGAUGGAGGCCUUCGGGUUGUGAACCUCUUUCUCCGGUGGUGAAGGCCCUGUCCGUUGCGGCGGGGUUGACGGUAGCCGGGUAUGAAGCGCCGGCUAACUACGUG
rnacentral:rRNA from 1 species